rnacentral:rRNA from 1 species
GUCCUACGGGACGCAGCAGUGGGGAAUAUUGCACAAUGGGGGGAACCCUGAUGCAGCGACGCCGCGUGAGUGAAGAAGUAUUUCGGUAUGUAAAGCUCUAUCAGCAGGGAAGAAGAUGACGGUACCUGACUAAGAAGCCCCGGCUAACUACGUGCCAGCAGCCGCGGUAAUACGUAGGGGGCAAGCGUUAUCCGGAUUUACUGGGUGUAAAGGGAGCGUAGACGGCAGGGCAAGUCUGGAGGGAAAGCCCGGGGCCCAACCCCGGGACUGCUUUGGAAACUGC